rnacentral:rRNA from 1 species
GUAUGAAGUUGGAAUCGCUAGUAAUCGCGGAUCAGCAUGCCGCGGUGAAUACGUUCCCGGGCCUUGUACACACCGCCCGUCACACCAUGAGAGUCGGGAACACCCGAAGUCCGUAGCCUAACCGCAAGGAGGGCGCGGCCGAAGGUGGGUUCGAUAAUUGGGGUGAAGUCGUAACAAGGUAUC